AGUUGCCAGCAGUUCGGCUGGGCGACUCUAAAGGGACUGACCGGUGUUAAACCGGAGGAAGGUGGGGAUGACGUCAAGUCCUCAUGGCCUUUAUGACCAGGGCUACACACGUACUACAAUGGCCGAUACAAAGGGCAGCGACACUGCGAGGUGAAGCCAAUCCCGUAAAAUCGGUCUCAGUCCGGAUUGGAGUCUGCAACUCGACUCCAUGAGGUUGGAAUCGCUAGUAAUCGUGGAUCAGCAUGCCACGGUGAAUACGUUCCCGGGCCUU
rnacentral:rRNA from 1 species